rnacentral:rRNA from 1 species
UACGAAGGGGGCUAGCGUUGCUCGGAAUCACUGGGCGUAAAGGGCGCGUAGGCGGCUUGAUAAGCGUGCGGUGAAAGCCCGGGGCUCAACCCCGGGUCGGCCGUGCAAACUGUCGAGCUGGAGCACUGUAGAGGCAGGUGGAAUUCCGGGUGUAGCGGUGGAAUGCGUAGAGAUCCGGAAGAACACCGGUGGCGAAGGCGGCCUGCUGGACAGUGGCUGACGCUGAGGCGCGACAGCGUGGGGAGCAAACAGG